rnacentral:tRNA from 1 species
GUGGCGGAGAGGACCCUUUUGACAAGGCCCAAGCGCUUGCGGCGCUGGGCUGUGAUGGCGGUACCGUCGUGCAUUCGGUGCAGGCCGACCGGCUGCGC